rnacentral:rRNA from 1 species
UACAGAGGUCUCAAGCGUUGUUCGGAUUCAUUGGGCGUAAAGGGCGCGUAGGCGGGAUGGCAAGUCGGUCGUGAAAUCUCUCGGCUCAACCGAGAAACGUCGGCCGAUACUGCCGUUCUUGAGGGAUGCAGAGGAGACUGGAAUUCCCGGUGUAGCGGUGAAAUGUGUAGAGAUCGGGAGGAACACCGGUGGCGAAGGCGGGUCUCUGGGCAUUUCCUGACGCUGAGGCGCGAAAGCGUGGGGAGCAAACGGG